CGGUGUCUUCCGUCAGAGACCAGCGCCCCUCGGUUCCGCCGCCCCCCACCACAGAGGUGAUGGACGAGGAGCUGGUCCAGACGGUCACUGACGUGGAAAUGGGUAGCUGGCACCACAUGCAUACAUACACACCACAACUGAUAUCUAUUCUUGAGUCAGUGUGUUUGCAUUAACUGUAACUUUUUCAUUUGCCGGUCGCUAAAGCUGAUGCCUGAAGGACAAAGGUAGGUUUAUCAGGUGAUGUAGCCGUCUUUGUUGGUGGUAGACGCGCCGUCCUCACUCACGUAGUGGUAAUGUGGAUUUGAUUAAACUCCCAGUCUAGCAAACCUCGCCUUGUAACUAACAUUCGCCUUGUAGCACACCUCUUAACGGUCGCCUUGUAGCACACCUCUUAACAGUCGCCUUGUAGCACUAAACCAUUUUAUCUAAUCAACGGCAUGCUGCACGUCAUGAAUGCUCAGACUCACUUAGUCUCGCCUGCCUGUGUGUUGCCCCGUCACUCUCAUUGUGCUGAUGCCAUUUGGUUGUGCGUGACCGUGUCUGAAGCUGGCGUACAGGUCCUUCAGGCCCUCCCGCUCCCGCUGGAGACGCCUCCGUCUCCGCCUCCUCCGGCACCGUCCUCCACCCCUCCCCCACCACCACCACCUCCACCACCACCAUCCCCACCACCACCACCUCCACCACCACCACCACCACCACAGGUUGCGGCCGCUCCGCCGACGGUCGGGCUUCCUGCUCGGGCUCCGGCGCAGACCAGGGUGGAGCCUCGUGGCGUCUCCGUGGAGGAGACGCCGUGCGGGGAGGCCACCCUGGCACCGGAGCCGAAGAAGAGGAGGAAGAUGACGACGGGCGACGCGGAGCAGUCGGCAACGCCCGCUCCUGCUCGGGCUGAGACCCGGUUGGCUGAGGGCUGGCGGACAGCCCUCACCGGGGAGGAGCAGGAGCUGAACAGUAGGACCCUCUCGCUGUGGUUCACCCGGACGCAGCGAGAGAAGGAGAGGGCUGUGUUGACUCCAGGCGUUGCAGCAGACGGAGGACGACCACCGGCGGCGGCCGCGGCGACAGCGCCGGGCCCGGCCUCGGCAGCGGCGGUGGAUCGUCCGGCGGCAGCAGCGACGGCGACGUCGGCGGUGCCUCAAGGCCGGGCGACGCCAGCGGCAGCGAGGGGGGCGGCGGUGGCCCCGGCAGCGGCCCCGGCUGUGGCAGCACCGGGGCCCGCUCUGCCGGCGCCCAGACGGCUACUGGCGCCUCGACAGCCCGCCCCCUCGGCUGCUUACCCGGCCUUCCUGCCGACUGCUGCUGCCGCAGCUGCAACUGGACCUUUAAGAGCAGCACAGCCUCUCCUUGUGGACCUCUUACUGCCCCGGCAGAGUGUGUGGGUGCUCCCCGUCCCCGUCCUGACGCUCCCUCGGACACUGCCGGCUCCACACGUCCUCCCUCCGCCGCUGGCCGCCGCACAGCACGCCGGCCCUGAGCUGCCGGUAGCCCUGCCCGCCGCGCAGCACGCCGGCCCUGAGCUGCCUGUACCCCUGCCCGCCGCACAGCACGCCGGCCCUGAGCUGCCUGUACCCCUGCCCGCAGCACAGCACGCCGGCCCUGAGCUGCCGGUAGCCCUCAAAACGGUAGAACGGAGGAGGCUGAACGCCAAGCGGCGGGCGGAGGCACAGCCGGGCACAACAUACUCCUCCCGGGCCGGCGUGCCACAGGUGCAUAAGUGCAGUAAAUGCGGCCAGCCGAGGCGGAGGGAGACCGGACACUCCCGCCACGGCAGAGAAUACUUCUGCUCCGUCGCGGCGGGUCAGAGUGUGGAGGACUGGCUGAGGGAGAAGAGGAGCGGGACCAGGGUGGAGCCCCGCACUGAUGCGCACUCUUGCCGGGGAUGGUGUUGUACAUAGUUCUCUUUUGUAUAUAGUUGUUUUUCUGUUGUGUAUAUAGUUAUUUUGCUGUGUUAGUGUAUAUAGUUGUUUGCUGUAUAUAGUUUUCAUUUUGCAGGGUUAGUGUGUAUAUAGUUCUUUGUUUUGUUGGAUAGCUUCUAAGUUAGUGCAUACACACUGCCUU
rnacentral:lncRNA from 1 species